rnacentral:pre_miRNA from 1 species
AAAGUCUUACUGCAGUUUGAGGUUUAUUAAAGCUUAAAACGGCACUAAGACUUUUG